UUUCCUGUGCGCUGCUCUGCUCUUCCGGGCAUGGCGCUACUCUGCUGUCCGGUGGUGGAUGUAGGCGUGAGGACGCUUGUCUCACGAAGCUCGUAGUAGGUAUGGGGUCCUCGCCUCAUCCUCGAGAAGCGAUCGCGCGGUAGAUGUAAAAUGUGACCAAUGCGUAAAGGAGAAGGGCACGGCGCUGCGAAAGUUUAGGGCCGAGGAGAUGGCUCCCCGGGCCAAGGCGCUGGCCGCGGAGCCUCAACAUCGUGGGUUCGAUCCUGGGACCCACUUGGAGAGAUCCGACUUCCUCAACACGUCCCCUGACUUCACUACGAUCUCAGUCGUGUACGCGCCACCCACAUUCAAAACCGCAAAGGACAGACUUAGAAUACAAGCCGAAUACUGAUGGAUGAAAAGUGGGAAUUGUUCAGGGAGUAACGUCCUUUGUGAAGAAAGAGCCAGUGAAGAGGGAUAGUGGGAAGAAAAAAAAAUUCAAAUAUGGGGAAGGGGUAUGGAAACGUGAAGACUGGAGAAUUGGCGCAACCUGGUUGCAUCUUCCCGUUACUCCCACGUGUUUUUCUUUUGAUGGUUUGUUUUCCGACCUGUGUGUUAAUGAUGUAACUGCUUAAUAUUCAGCUCUGUAAGUUCCUGUGCCGUCUACUUUUAUGUCAACUGAACACAAGCUUCUGAGAGGAGGAGUCAACUGAGAAAAUGCCUCUAUAAGAUCAGGCUGCAGGCAAGUCUAUAGAGCAUUUUCUUAAUUAGUGAUUGAUGGGAGAAGGCACAGCCCAUUGUGGGUGGCGCCACCCAUGGACUGGUGGUCCUAGAUUCUAU
rnacentral:lncRNA from 1 species